GGCGGACGGGUGAGUAACGCGUGGGAACGUGCCCUUCUCUAUGGAAUAGCCACUGGAAACGGUGAGUAAUACCAUAUACGCCCUUCGGGGGAAAGAUUUAUCGGAGAAGGAUCGGCCCGCGUUAGAUUAGGUAGUUGGUGGGGUAAUGGCCUACCAAGCCUACGAUCUAUAGCUGGUUUUAGAGGAUGAUCAGCCACACUGGGACUGAGACACGGCCCAGACUCCUACGGGAGGCAGCAGUGGGGAAUCUUAGACAAUGGGCGCAAGCCUGAUCUAGCCAUGCCGCGUGAGUGAUGAAGGCCUUAGGGUCGUAAAGCCCUUUCGCCAGAGAUGAUAAUGACAGUAUCUGGUAAAGAAACCCCGGCUAACUCCGUGCCAGCAGCCGCGGUAAUACGGAGGGGGUUAGCGUUGUUCGGAAUUACUGGGCGUAAAGCGCACGUAGGCGGAUUAGAAAGUUGGGGGUGAAAUCCCGGGGCUCAACCUCGGAACUGCCUCCAAAACUCCUAGUCUAGAGUUCGAGAGAGGUGAGUGGAAUUCCAAGUGUAGAGGUGAAAUUCGUAGAUAUUUGGAGGAACACCAGUGGCGAAGGCGGCUCACUGGCUCGAUACUGACGCUGAGGUGCGAAAGUGUGGGGAGCAAACAGGAUUAGAUACCCUGGUAGUCCACACCGUAAACGAUGAAUGCCAGUCGUCGGGUAGUAUACUGCUCGGUGACACACCUAACGGAUUAAGCAUUCC
rnacentral:rRNA from 1 species